UUCUCCUCAUUGCGCCACGUAGGAUUCCACUUAGGAAAUUCAAGCUCUGACAUCGCAACACGUGUCUCUUUAUUAAAAUGUUGCGUUUCAUUUUUACUAUACUUAGAAUUUUGUGGGCUUCAUUUGUUGGGCUUCAUGUUAUACUCAAUCGCUUGAGCUUGAUCAGUGUAAACCUUAUCGUCUUCAUCAUCUUCGGACCGAAUGUUAGGGUUCACCAUUCUCUCCGAUCUCCGACAAGGACGAUGCUCACAUUUGCUCAUCCACAACAACAAUGAAGUUUCCAGAAAUUGAGUUGCUAAAAUGGGCGUAUACAUCCUCUUUAUCGCAUUCUUAACUCCAACGACUCACAAGAACACGAUCUACCAUUCAAUGCAACUCUAUCUUCUCUAAGGCGGUGUAACUACACAUAUAAAAAGUUUAUUCGUGGAUUGAUUAUCAACAUCAAGGAGCUUUCUCCUGCUGCUUCGGAUAUGGACAUGGUUUUAGACAGUAUACAAAGCUCAAAUGAAGGUGAAUCCCAGGGGAUACUAUCAGUAAGUGAUCCAAAACUUUCACAAACAAGAAAAGAAGGCUUGCCAUUUGCACCUGAAGCACAAGAGCUUGCGGAUACUGGGUCAUGCCCUGUGAUAUUACUGUUACAUGAAAACGUAAUAGCUGAUUGCAUCUUCAGAGGAGACUGAUGGUAGCUUUUCAUGUUAUUUAGAUCUUACUUUGGCUUCUGCUCCAUUACCAGACAAGCCAGCUUCACAGAUGGCUAAGACAAUAGUACAAUGUCAAUAAAGCGAGAUGGAGAGCGACGAGGAGCGACUGAGCAGGCGGUGUAGAGUAACGGAGCAAGCGGCGUUGAGCUGAUGGAGCAAGUGACGGAGAGAGUGAGCAAAGUUUCUGUGAAUGGAGGGAUGAAAGUUGAGGUGGAGGAGUCUGACAUGACUCUAUAGGCUGUUGCUCAGUUUUGAUGGCAUCGAACCAGAAGUGAAAGCUAUAGUACAACAAUAACGCAAAGGUUAGUGUUUCUUCUCCUGCAUUCUUCAUCUGUAUGUACAACAAUAGCACAAAGGAUGUCAACAGCAGUGGUGAACGAUAUACAAUCGGUACACUACCAACUAAACUGUCUAAACUGAAUAAAGUAAACGAUACAUUACACAUCUCUUUUACAGUUUUUUUCUUCUACACACAAUUCUUUCAACACAGUUUGAUAUGAUUUUGGAUAUGGUUUGUUCUACAAAAUAUAAUUUAUGUUAGGAUAUAGUUUGUAACAGAUGUUGAAUCUGCAGAUUUGAAUAAGAUACUCUUGGAUCUUGCGUCAAGGAAGUGUUGUUGUUUACCUCGAUGCAUCAUUCGUUAAGGUUUGUCACAUUAACAGUCACGUGCAAAUCUUUCUUUUGGUUAAUUUAUAAGAAUCUGCACUUUUCUUAUAAGAUGAUUUUUUUUUUCUGUAUAAGCAGCUGUUGGUUUUAAAACACCACCACCACAAAAAGCAGAAGAAUUUUUUUUGGUUGAAGAACUGGCAAAUUAUGUUUGUUUGUAAUUAUUUUCUUUUGAAUUAUUUUUUCUCUUUUUUCCUGUUUUAUUAUGUUUUUACCUUUUAAUUGUAUCAUCGACUGAAAGAAAUAUGAAAAUACAUUAAUAAAAUAUUUUAAUUUAUUUAUUUACAGAGAAAACUUUAAUAUUAAUUAUUAUAAACAAUAAUUUAAAUUUAAAUUAAUAAUAUAAAUGAUUCAAUUAUUAAGCCCACUUUUAAAAUUAAUUUAAUUAAAAUUUGACUUUAUAUAUUAUAAAUGAUAUAAGUAACUAAAACACAUUGUUUUAACUGAUUAUAAUAAUAAUAUAAUUUUUAAAAACAUAUAUAAAUAGUAACAUCAAUUUUUGUAAUUUAUAUACAUUAACAUCAUUUAUGAUAAUUUAUGUUAAUUUAGUAUUUUUACAUCAGUUUUUAAUAUAAUGAUGUGAAUUGUAAAAUUAAAUAAUGAAAAAUAUCAUACAUUGUUUAUAAUUAAUGCAAAAUUUUAAAAUAAAUGGUGUUAAACAACUAUUGUUUUGUAAUGCGUAAACUAAUCUUCUCACUAUGAAGAAGAAAGAAUAAAAAGACUCACUGAUUAUAACAGGGCAAUGCUCUCAAAUAUACUUUUUUUAAGUUUUGUCAUAAAAAGUGCCCCUAAAAAUAAAAUGAAAAAAUAAUUUUAUUAAAUAUGCAAAAAACUUUAUACC